CAGAUUAGAGCUUGAUAUAAGUUUUUUAUUUACACUAAAAGGAUAGUUUAAUGUAAACUUAAUCUGA
rnacentral:tRNA from 1 species